GAGGCAGCCCGACAUUUCUCGCCCGGCACCGACCGUGGCACCGACGCCUGCGGGGCAUUCUGACACACAGAUCACAGCCAGAAGCCCCGAUCGCAGGAAUGCUCUUGUGCAGCAGCCUCUAUCGGCUCAGCUUUCAUCUCCCGCAGGGGCUGCAUUCACUCAUUUUACCCAGACAGCUGAUCUUCUAGUAUCACCUACCUUGCAGUCUCCGCUCAUGAAUGCAUAUUCUUUUUCAAUGCCUGAGUCAGGAUCUGAGCAGUUUUCCUCCAGUGAGGAGGAAGCAGAUCCACAGGGAGUUUUUUCCCCAUAUCAUGACUCCCAGCCCCGGACCCAGAGCAAUAAGGGCUAUGGAAAUACUACCUCAUCCCACUCUCAGGACCCUGCCCCUUGGGGGAUGAACCCCUGGAUGGCACCACCUAUGCCCUACCCGCCACCAUGGCAAUACUGGACACCAUGGGCAUCAUACCCUCGGGAACACAUGCCCCGUGGCCACUCGACCAGGCGCAACACUGAUCCAGCGCCGUCUCCUAAUGCACAUGCUAGUGACACGAGACGCCUGGCAACACAGCCACGUUCCCAGGAUAAACCUAGCCCUUCUCCUGGUCCAACAGACCCGGAGUUAGCACCUGAGGAAGCAUUACUUCCCCUUCCUCCCACUCCCUCUGAUGAAUAUACAAAAUUCCAGGACCUCUUUAAGAGAGUUGCUAGUGACCUGAACAUUAACCUGGACGUGGUUCCCGAACAACAGCAUGAGCUAACGAACAUCCUACAGCCCCCUUCUUCCUCCAGAGUGGCACUCCCAAUUAACGCAGCCCUUUUAGAACCCGCUAAGUCCAUCUGGCAGACUCCAGCGACAAGCCUACCUACCUGCAAGCAAGCGGACAAGAAGUAUUUUAUUUCUCCAAAGGACUCUGAAUUCCUUUUUACCCAUCCAGCACCAAACUCAUUGGUAGUAGACGCUGCGAACCAGAGGGCUAGACAACAGUAUUCUCGUUCUGCCCCAGCUAACAAGGAUAGCAAACGACUGGACCUGUUUGGUCGCAAGGUCUAUGCAUCCUCCACCCUCCAAUUUCGUAUAGCUAAUUAUACUGCAG
rnacentral:lncRNA from 1 species